AGACAGCAGUCGCGCGGUAAUACGUAGGGUGCAAGCGUUAAUCGGAAUUACUGGGCGUAAAGCGUGCGCAGGCGGUUUGUUAAGACAGAUGUGAAAUCCCCGGGCUCAACCUGGGAACUGCAUUUGUGACUGGCAAGCUAGAGUAUGGCAGAGGGGGGUGGAAUUCCGCGUGUAGCAGUGAAAUGCGUAGAUAUGCGGAGGAACACCGAUGGCGAAGGCAGCCCCCUGGGCCAAUACUGACGCUCAUGCACGAAAGCGUGGGGAGCAAACAGGAUUAGAUACCCCUGUAGUCCCUGUCUCUUAUACC
rnacentral:rRNA from 1 species